UUAAUAUCUACUUCCUCGUGAUCUUUCUUCUAUUUCUUCUCUGUUAAUCUCACUGCAUUAUCUUGUACACUUUUCUCAGGUUGAACCAGAGAUCGGAGAUAAAAUUCCUCAAAGAAAAAAGUCACGGUUCUUUUCUCUUUCGAUCUCUCGAGAUGUCAAACAAUUUUGAUCGGUUUCUUUUGCCGUGAUCCGCCAAAACACGUCGUCGUCGGCGAGGUUGGAAGGACUAACGUCUCCGGGAACGAUGCCUUCGCCGCGAUCUGCAACAAGUACGACCGAUACGACAUCUACAAGUAGAAAGACUCUAACGUCUCCGGUGCCGAUGCCUUCGCUCGCCUCUACUCCGCCAUCGAGUUUGACAUUGAAGCUGCUCUUUAGAAAGCGGAGCUUGCUUCAAAAGAAAAAAGUAUGGCAUCUGCAGGUGCUCUGACUGCCAAGAUUCCCGGACCAAGGCUCCAUUGCUUGAAGAGGUUCCCAAGUUGCAGAGAUUGGCUGUAAAGAAGUGCAGUCCUCUAUAUAUAUGCUAGAACUUGUUUAGCGCUGGAAGGUGAUUUUGGAUGGGUAUUGAUUGGACAAAAGAUGAUUGCUUUUGAAGAGAAUUCUUGGCAGUUUACAUGGUUGGUCAAGGAUCGGCUCAGGUGCCAAGGGAAAAUGGAUUUUUCCUAAAAGGUCAAGGAUUGGCUCACUUGUGAGAUGGUAUAUGUCAGAAAUUGCUGGAGCUGAAACCAAGAAUACCAUGGAAUUUUUUGUAUAAAUUGUAUGAUGCACAAGUUGUUCUUUAUCAUUCAGGAGUACAACAGGAUGUUGAAGCCAAGCCAUGUGUCCCAAUAGUUUAUUAAUAGAUAAAAUGUCGUUUUUCUUUACUGACUAUAGAGCUCAAUUUUGCAUCUGGGUUUCUGUUUACUUUUCUCUACUUAUCGUGCUUGCUUUUCAUGGCAGAUGUAUUCUCCACAGAGAAAUGCUUGCUCGCACAGCUAGUCUUUCUUAUUUAAUUAUUUUAUGAUAGUUAUGCGACUAUCAAAAUACAUGACUUUGACCUUGGAUCAUGCUCAUUUGAUCAGUUUGUAAUAGAAAUACCAGCUGAUGUAUUUGUUUUUGAUAGUAUACCAAACAACUCUCAUCGCAACUUGGC